AGUUUGGUAUAAGGGUUGUAAUGAAUUCGUGGUCUGAAGCCCUGCUUUCACCUGAACAAGAUUGGACGCCCGAGGAAAUAGUGGCCAAACUGGAUAAAUAUAUGGACUUUUUGUCUUCACUUAAAAAUUAUUUAUUCGAUGACUCAUAAGUAUCCUCGGAGCCAACAUGUGUCCCAAGCUGCACAAAAAUCCAAGACUUCAUUGGCCAGUAACGACAUUGUGCUGUAAGAUCACAUAAAUCGCCAGAAGAUGCAUGCAUUAUUAAAAUAUAACUUAUUACUAUAAUCAUGCAGUGCUUCAUUGUUCAGACAUACACGUGAACCACGAUUUCCCAUUACUAUACUAAACCUAGCAUUCAAUAUGUAAAUUAUAGAUAUCCCUAGUUUUAAAUGUGUUUAAUUGUAGAAUAUAGAAUAUAUAAUUGUAGAAUGUCCUUUUGGCCCAGUAACAUUUAUUACGCCGACUCCGCGGUAAACAGUCUUUAUUACUUUCAUUUUGUGAAGCGUUGACGAACCGUUGCCAUCACGACGGUGCCUCCACGUUCCAUUUGAUAUACUUUAUCCAGCAUGUCACAUAUUCUUGCUUCAAUUAUUUAAAAAGACCUGAAAGUUCUUUAUGGCUGAAGUUGGAUUCGCCACUUUGGCUCUAGGUUUUGAAUAUAUUACAUUAUCUCGAUUCACGUUUUCUACUCACAUUUAUCCAUGGUUAGCUAAUCCCCGCAAUUUCAUUCCAUUUCCUGACAAUUUUUCGGGACAAUCGAGCAAGAAAUCACAACAUUCUCUGGC